AUGAACGCUGGCGGCGUGCCUAAUACAUGCAAGUCGAGCGAACAGACGAGGAGCUUGCUCCUCUGACGUUAGCGGCGGACGGGUGAGUAACACGUGGAUAACCUACCUAUAAGACUGGGAUAACUUCGGGAAACCGGAGCUAAUACCGGAUAAUAUAUUGAACCGCAUGGUUCAAUAGUGAAAGACGGUUUUGCUGUCACUUAUAGAUGGAUCCGCGCCGCAUUAGCUAGUUGGUAAGGUAACGGCUUACCAAGGCAACGAUGCGUAGCCGACCUGAGAGGGUGAUCGGCCACACUGGAGCUGAGACACGGUCCAGACUCCUACGGGAGGCAGCAGUAGGGAAUCUUCCGCAAUGGGCGAAAGCCUGACGGAGCAACGCCGCGUGAGUGAUGAAGGUCUCCGGAUCGUAAAACUCUGUUAUUAGGGAAGAACAAAUGUGUAAGUAACUAUGCACGUCUUGACGGUACCUAAUCAGAAAGCCACGGCUAACUACGUG
rnacentral:rRNA from 1 species